rnacentral:rRNA from 1 species
AUUGAACGCUGGCGGCAGGCCUAACACAUGCAAGUCGAACGAGCGGCGGACGGGUGAGUAAUGUCUGGGAAACUGCCUGAUGGAGGGGGAUAACUACUGGAAACGGUAGCUAAUACCGCAUACUAUCGGAUGUGCCCAGAUGGGAUUAGCUAGUAGGUGGGGUAAAGGCUCACCUAGGCGACGAUCCCUAGCUGGUCUGAGAGGAUGAUCAGCCACACUGGAACGGAGACACGGUCCAGACUCCUACGGGAGGCAGCAGUGGGGAAUAUUGCACAAUGGGCGAAAGCCUGAUGCAGCCAUGCCGCGUGUAUGAAGAAGGCCUUCGGGUUGUAAAGUACUUUCAGCGGGGAGGCGUUACCCGCAGAAGAAGCACCGGCUAACUCCGUGCCAGCAGCCGCGGUAAUAC